rnacentral:rRNA from 1 species
AGAGUUUGAUCCUGGCUCAGAAUCAACGCUGGCGGCGUGCCUAACACAUGCAAGUCGAACGAGAAAGUGGAGCAAUCCAUGAGUAAAGUGGCGACCGGGUGAGUAACACGUGACCAACCUACCCUCGAGUGGGGAAUAACCCCGGGAAACCGGGGCUAAUACCGCAUAACAUCCUUGGGGCGCAGGCCCUGGGGAUCAAA